GCCACUAUGGUUCAGUGGUUAGACGUCCCGACAAUGACUAGUUUCAGAGUUGGGAGGCCCGGGGCUCGAUUCCUCGUGGUGGUC